AACGAACGCUGGCGGCGUGCCUAACACAUGCAAGUCGAACGGAUUCAUAUUGAAGUAGCAAUGCGGAGAUAUGAGUUAGUGGCGGACGGGUGAGUAACACGUAGGUAACCUACCCUUAAGCGGGGGACAACUCAGGGAAACUUGAGCUAAUACCGCAUAAGACCACGGGCUGAGAUGCCAGUGGGAAAAGGAGCAAUCCACUUAAGGAUGGGCCUGCGGCCUAUCAGGUAGUUGGUGAGGUAACGGCCCACCAAGCCAGAGACGGGUAGCCGGACUGAGAGGUUGAACGGUCACACUGGAACUGAGAUACGGUCCAGACUCCGUACGGGAGCUG
rnacentral:rRNA from 1 species